GAAGCGGCCAGACCCCCGGCUAAUGGAUGCGGAGCGCAGGGCGCGCUCGCCGCUCUCGGCGCCACCGUCUGCUUGACGUGGCUGAAGCUAGAUCAGACACACCACUGCAAAGAGGCGACUGACAGCUUCCUGUGCUUGACUCUCAAAGAACAUUCUGGAACACGUAAGCAGAGUCUGAGCCGCCCUGCGGUGAGGCUUCUCCAAGAGUGCUGGGUGCCAGAGAGGAAGACGGUUUCCCACCAGCAGAAGUCGCUGUGGCGGUGAGAAACAGCUGCAGAGCCACAGGUGGUGCCUGGGACACCAUUCACCCACCGUGGGAGGUGCUGAGCUCGUGCCAGUUGGGAAAGGAAGGGCCAUUCAUUAGUCCAGAAGCCUUUGAGACCACUAGUGGAGUGCCCUAGCCUGAGACUGGGUCACGUGUAAUAGCUCGUCCGGGACACUGUCAACCCAAAGGUGGUGGGUAUCCACGUCACCAACUAGUGGGUACCCACUGAGGGAGGGUGAGUGACUCUUGGAAGCCAUGGCACUGGCACUGUUCGAGGACUGGUGCAGGAUAACGAGUGUGGACGAGCAGAAAUCCCUGAUGGUUACAGGCAUACCCCUGGACUGCUCUGAGCCUGAGAUCCUGGAGGUCCUGCAGGAGACUUUGCAGUGUCUGGGCGGGUUCAGACUGCUUGGCAAGAUCUUCCGCAAGCAGGAGAAGCCAGUGCUGUCUUGUUAGAGCUUAUGGAGGACGCUGAGGCCUCAGCGAUCCCCAGCGAGGUUCAGGGAAGAGGGGGUGCUUGGAAAGUGAUCUUUAAGACCCCUAACCAGGACACAGAAUUUCUUGAAAGGCUGAACCUCUUUCUGGAAAAAGAGGGGCAGACGGUCUCCGGUAUGUUCCGAGCCCUGGAGCACAAGGGAUUGUUUCCGCCCACUGGGCCCUGCACAUUGCCCGAGUUAUUGGCCCAUUUUCUGGGACAGGCAAUGGCCCAUGCUCCUCAGCCCCUGCUACCCAUGAGAUACCGGAAACUGAGAGUGUUCUCCGGGAGCACUGUGCCAGCCCCGGAGGAGGAGUCCUUUGAGGUCUGGUUGGAACAGGCCACUGAGAUAGUCAAGGAGUGGCCCAUAGCAGAGGCCGAGAAGAAGAGGUGGCUGACAGAGAGCCUGCGUGGCCCGGUGCUCGACCUCAUGCGCAUAGUGCAGACAACCCAUCCAUCAGUGUGCACGAGUGUCUGGAGGCUUUUAAGCAAGUGUUUGGGAGCCUAGAGAGCCGCAGGAGCUCCCAGGUAAGAUACCUGAAUACCUAUCAGCAGGAAGGAGAGAUGGUCUCAGCAUAUGUGUUACGCUUAGAAACCCUGCUUCAGAGAGCCGUGCAGAAACGGGCCAUCUCAAAGAGCAUCACAGACCAGGUCCGCUUGGAGCAGAUCUUAGCCAGGGCCAGACUCAACCAGGCACUCUGGUGUCGGCUCAGGGAGCUGAAGGAGGAGUGCCCACCGCCCAGCUUCCUGGAGCUGAUGAAGGUCAUACGGGAAGAGGAGGAGGAAGACGCCUCCUAUGACAAUGAGAGUAUGGAGGAACAGGAUGACUAAAAAACCACCUGGGAGCAGGACCCACAGCCUGGGGAUCCAGCAACAUGCACUUUAGGCUGUGACCUUCACAGUUUGUCUGCCUUCUAUGUAUGGAUUGAAAUCAAGGCUUUUCAGACGAUUAUUGAGUUUUCUAAGAAAAAAAUAUCACAGUUCCUUAGACCUGUGUAGGUUAAUGAUAAGCAAAAGAUUAUAUUGCAAAUGUUAGAUAGUAAACCUAAAGGAAUCAGAAAUGCCAAUACUUCCUGUUUCCUUUAAAUAUCCGCAAAUAGACCAAAGUUUACCCAUAUCAUAGAAGAAAGAAUUGACAUGAGAGAGAGGAAAAAAAAGAGAUAGCUUUUGGAAUUGUUUGAAAACAAAGCUGUUUGGCUUGUCACGUGGUUUCAUGUCUCAGAUCAGAUUCUCUGAGUACAAAACCAGAGCUAUUACCUAUAGCUAAAUAGUUACAAAUCUUCAGAAUGGGCCAUGCCCUCAGAGUUUCCAGUUUAACGGGGAAUUGGCCUGAAAGCUUAAGUAGCCAUAUGGGGAUUUUUUAAAAAGUUUUGGGGAAAUGUCUGUUAUCAAACUAUGCAAGGAUUUCAAAAAUGUUUUUGUACCAAAAUAUACUUACUUUUUUAAGAAUAAUUUUUUUGCUUUACUUGAGAGUUACUGAGAUACAGCAGCCAUCCUCUGGUUCACUCCCCAGGUGCCCACGGUGGCCGGGGCUGGACCUGCCAGGGAUUGGAAACACAGUCCAGGUCUCCCACAUGUGUGGUGGGAACCCUGUCACUUGAACCAUCACUUCUGCCUCCCAAAGUCUACUUCAGCAGGAACUGGGAAUUGAGCCUGGGUUCUCCAGUGUGGGACAUGGGCAUCUUGUUGUUGUUGUUAUUGUUGUUGUUGUUAAGAAAACACUUUUUAAAAUUUUAUUUUCAUUUUAUUUGAAAAAUAAAGAGACAAAGACAGAGAUCGUCUAUCUACUGGUUGACUCUCCAUAUGCCCUUAAUAGGGCUGAGCCAGGAGCCCAAUCCAGAUCUCCCAUGUGGGUAGCAGGGGAGUAACAACCACUAGGCCAAACACCUGUUCCCAUGUUCCCAGGGACUUUUCUAAGACCCCUCACACGUAAAUAAGUUCACAGCCCCAGUAGAAGUUUCCUGGUCAAAUGAAUAGGGCCAUCACCACCUUUAGGUUUCCUUUGGGUAUCUGGGAAGUGCUCCUCCCACCUCUCUGCCGGAUGUCAGAUAGAUGGUUCCAGAAUGAGAUGCUGUGACGGGUCUUGAAGACGCAUAUCACUUGGCCUAAUCCCCCCUUUCAAGAGGUCCACUGCUUUCAAGGUGCCCUCCAGCUCACGGUGGACAUUAGGGGACAGCGUGCAUGAGAGAAGGGGUGUCUGGGAAUGUUUGGGUUUAGUGAGCAACCAGUCUGGUUAGGGUAGAAGGGUCUCAGUGGUGACAGACAAGAGGAGGGGAAUGGAGCUCCUGUUCACUGGGGACCUGCCCUGUGUAAGACAUCUCAUGCAUAUCUCAUUUUAUGUGUUCAGCAGCCCUAUUGUGGUAUAAUUUUGCUCUUCAUAAGGAUGAAGUGCUCUCCUCAACACCCAAAUGCAAGUGACACAGUCUAGACAGAAGCCCAGGAACUAGUGACAUGCUAGCCCACUCCACCGCCGUGCUGGCUUUCAAAUUGUGCAGUGUAGUUAGACAUAUUUUUCAGCAGUUCUGUCUUCCAAAUGUACUUGAAACUCUUUAAGUCACUAGUAAUAACAGACUCAAAUGUUAUUUGAUAACCAAAAUUUAACACAUCGACGUUCACCAACAGGUCUGCUUGUAUUUGCUUGUUGGCUCAUUUUGCGUAGGCUUUGAAACAAAGCUGUCUUUAGGGUAGCUGUGCACACAUACUCUUCCUCCAGCUCUUCAUAGAUUUCAAAAGCUGUAGCACCUCAUUUUAAACCAGGCCCACCCAGUUCAUGUCAGGUAUGCAAGGACAGCAUAAGUGAGCACCAUUUAGUUACAUGAUUGGCAGAGCUCCCAGCCAGUGCUGUGUAGUGUUACAGUAGGUUUGUGCCUCGUGUGUAUAAACUGCUUAGCUUCUUGAACAGCUUUCUCAAUGAAAGCUGGGAAGGUUAGGGAGUGGGUUGUGAGGAUCAAAUGACAUACCUUUUCAGCACUUGGCUUGAUGCCUAUUGUGGAUAGCCCUCAAUAGGUUGAGGCUCUUGGGAUUUCCAUGAAGCUUACUCUCUGCCUAGUGCAUGCUCUCAUUCUGAUAGUUCCACAGCGACAAAUAAGUCAUCUUCCAGCCAAGUUGUGCUACCGUUGAAUUAUAGACAUUCCCAUUCUUACUGUAAAUUUGAGUGUUGUCUCAGAUGAGUACUCCAGCGAUGGUACACAAUUGUUGGUACUUUGACUUUGAAACAAUAAUUUGUUCUUUCUGAUUGUGGGUCAGUUAACUGAAGAAUAUCCUGAGAUUGUUAAGAAAGGCAUUUUUAAAUGGUACCAUUUGUCAUCAUUUAUCUUUCUAAAGUGUAUUUCUUGAUACUGUUUGACCACAGUGAUAUAAUUGUCAUCCCUUGCACUUGGAAUUCCUGUGUUUUUGUGUUCAUGAAAAUAGCUUUAUUGUCAUUUAUUGAUGAUCUGCAAAUUAAAAUGUUUUUAAUG